rnacentral:rRNA from 1 species
GACGAACGCUGGCGGCGUGCUUAACACAUGCAAGUCGAACGAAGUGGCGAACGGGUGAGUAAUACGUGGGUAACCUGCCCUCCUUUUUGGGAUAAGCCUUGGAAACGGGGUCUAAUACCGAAUAAAGGGGGUGGGGCUCGCGGCCUAUCAGCUUGUUGGUGGGGUGAUGGCCUACCAAGGCGGUGAAGGGUAGCCGGCCUGGGAGGGUGACCGGCCACAUUGGGACUGAGAUACGGCCCAGACUCCUACGGGAGGCAGCAGUGGGGAAUAUGGCACAAUGGGCGCAAGCCUGAUGCAGCCAUGCCGCGUGUAUGAAGAAGGCCUUCGGGUUGUAAAGUACUUUCAGCGAGGAGGCGUUACUCGCAGAAGAAGCACCGGCUAACUCCGUGCCAGCAGCCGCGGUAAUUC